AAUUUGUGAGUAGGUACAAAAGUGCAUUGUAACAUUGGAUUCACAUAUCAACGCGAAGCAGUAAUGGUUGCGGAAGCAGGAAUUGAAGGCGUUUUAGCGAAGCAGUGGAGCUGCUGGUUGACGUAUUGGAGAGACAAUCUUGGCAGGAUUAUCGUCAACGUGUAUCACAAAAAAGGAGUUACUUACGGAGAACCGCUGGCGGAAAGUUGAUCCAGGGACCGGCUGCACCUCUCCCAAAAUUCCAGGGUGAGCUCGCUUUCAUCCAAGCCUCGGGUGACGAGGAACUCAUGGAAACGGCGGGUACCCUCUCGAUUGUUGAGAACAUGAUGAAUAUCGUCCGUCCAUCGAUCGAGCUCCUCUUGCGGAAUGAAAUCUUCAUUCGGGCAGCAAGGCACGCAACUCAUUAUUCAAGGCCUCGAAAAUCUGAAUUCAUUGGAUCCACCGGUGUAACACUGUGAACAAAAUAAUAGAAACUGAAAAAUUUGUCCGCACAAAAAAAAAAAAAUGUUUAAAUUUCGAUUCUGAUACAUGAAAAGUUGAAAAACUGACCCUGUCAGACAUGCAAUGCAGAUAAAUUCUCACUUGAUUAACUUUUCUUCGUGGGUUGCGAGGAUGUGCAACAGUGGCGAGGCGCGAAUGAUCGAUUUUCGAUAUUUACCCAUUUGAAGCUAUAGUAAAAAAUCGAUUAUUUAGGUGUACGUUGCGACACCCUGUUUAUCGAUCCUUCUCCGUUGGUUUAAAUGGCAAAUCAAUCGAUUCUAUCGCAAAGCAUGCCGCGCCACUGAUGUGCAAUGAUUGCAUACUUGGAAUGAUAACAGUCCGGUGCAGCGAAAUGAUAAGGAAAUAAAAAAGGAUAGAGGAGGGCACUGAAUCAGGAGGUCAGUGCCUUUGAUUAUAUGACUAUCCGUGUUCAAUGGAGUGACUCAUCAAACUGUGUCUCACUCAAGGGGUCGUCCAUAAAUGAAUGUUCUUACAGUGUCAUUCGGAGUGUUUUAUGCCUCCUCUCUCGAAUACCUUUUAUAUGGAUCUUAAUUUUUUUUAUUUUCCUCAUCCCCCCCCCCCCAAAAAAAACCGUCUCGAUAACAUAUACCCCUCUCCAAAAUCUUGAGUGGAGAGAAGAAAAAAAAACAAUUAAGCAUCAUAAUUAUUUUAAUGAAGUCAGUGAAAGCGUUAUUUGGUGAAAAUUAUAAGAGAAAAUACAAACUCCUAUCUCAAUA